rnacentral:rRNA from 1 species
AUUGAACGCUGGCGGCAUGCUUUACACAUGCAAGUCGAGCGGCAGCGCGGGGGCAACCCUGGCGGCGAGCGGCGGACGGGUGAGUAAUGCAUCGGAACGUAUCCCGUAGUGGGGGACAACCCAGCGAAAGCUGGGCUAAUACCGCAUAUGCUCUACGGAGGAAAGUGGGGGACCGCAAGGCCUCAAGCUAUGGGAGCGGCCGAUGUCCGAUUAGCUAGUUGGUGGGGUAAUGGCUUACCAAGGCGACGAUCGGUAGCUGGUCUGAGAGGAUGAUCAGCCACACUGGGACUGAGACACGGCCCAGACUCCUACGGGAGGCAGCAGUGAGGAAUUUUGCGCAAUGGGGGAAACCCUGACGCAGCAACGCCGCGUGAGUGAUGAAGGCCUUCGGGUCGUAAAGCUCUGUCAAGUGGGAAGAAUCUGUCUGGUGAUAAUACCAUCGGACACUGACGGUACCACUGAAGGAAGCACCGGCUAACUCCGUGCCAGCAGCCGCGGUAAUAC